rnacentral:tRNA from 1 species
UGGAAUUUAACUCAGUAGGUAGAGUGUCUGGCUGUUAACCAGAAUGUCGCAGGUUCGAUCCCUGUAGUUCCAG